GAGUAUAAACACAGAUCCCUUUGCUUAAAGACACAAAAACCUCCCUCCCUGUCUAACAUUAAAGGGUUGUAUGCGGCACAAGCUGAACGUCUAAGCCUGGCAGCAGAUUCCAAAAGUUAAAACUUUAACCUUUCAAACAAGAUGUCAGUAUCCCAGGUACACUUUAAACUGGGCACAUGAGACUGUCCGCCACAAUGACUCAAACAUAUUUCCUUUCAAUACAUUGGUUUCUGAAUGAGCAGAGCACUGCACCAUUUGUGCCUGUCACCGUGCAAGGCCCUGCUCUUGUGAAGGGUCGUCGUGGCAUACAGAACUGUAGCCAACUGCAGAUGCCAAAUGUGAAUCGAUGGGUCAGUCCUGGGGCAGCUACUAUGGAGAGAGG